CUGGUAUGAUUUGGGUUUAGUAGUCUAUGAUCUUUCUUUUUCUUCUUUUUAAAACAAAAUGGAAGAAAUAUAGAAGGGAAUUUAUAGAUGUAUGGGAGUUGAGGUAACCUUGCGUCGAGUUCUUCUUGAGUGUGCUGCUGUCUUUUGUUUGAGAUUUUUCUGUAACAAAGAAAAGAUCGCUUGGUUGUUCAUAGGAAAAAGACAAAAGAGAGAGUGAAUGAAGUUACUGAAUUUGGUUGGAGUCUUGAGCUUUUGUAAGCAGCAAUGAAGUAUUUGACAGAUGCUGUUGUUAUUGAUUUCAUCCGAUAAAAAGUCAAGCUCAUUUCUGCAGUUGAAAAGUAAUUGAAUGAAAGAAAAUUGAAUGGGUGAAGAAACUACCUUCAGGAAUUGGAGUGCGUGGAUGGGGAAUGUUUGUGGGUGUGGUGGAUUUUAAAGAAACAAGAAGGUGAUGUGGCUGAAAGUAAGCCAAAGCUUUUGAAAAAAAAUAAACGACACUGUAGAAUUCUUGGGGAAAAAGAAAAAUGUA
rnacentral:lncRNA from 1 species